CCUACGGGUGGCAGCAGUCGAGAAUCAUUCACAAUGGGGGAAACCCUGAUGGUGCGACGCCGCGUGGGGGAAUGAAGGUCUUCGGAUUGUAAACCCCUGUCAUGUGGGAGCAAAUUAAAAAGAUAGUACCACAAGAGGAAGAGACGGCUAACUCUGUGCCAGCAGCCGCGGUAAUACAGAGGUCUCAAGCGUUGUGCGGAAUCACUGGGCGUAAAGCGUGCGUAGGAUGUUUCGUAAGUCGUGUGUGAAAGGCGCGGGCUCAACCCGCGGACGGCACAUGAUACUGCGAGACUAGAGUAAGGGAGGGGGAAGCGGAAUUCUCGGUGUAGCAGUGAAAUGCGUAGAUAUCGAGAGGAACACUCGUGGCGAAGGCGGGUUCCUGGACAUUAACUGACGCUGAGGCACGAAGGCCAGGGGAGCGAAAGGGAUUAGAUACCCUGGUAGUC
rnacentral:rRNA from 1 species